AUACGUAGGUGGCAAGCGUUGUCCGGAAUUAUUGGGCGUAAAGCGCGCGCAGGUGGUUCCUUAAGUCUGAUGUGAAAGCCCCCGGCUCAACCGGGGAGGGUCAUUGGAAACUGGGGAACUUGAGUGCAGAAGAGGAUAGUGGAAUUCCAAGUGUAGCGGUGAAAUGCGUAGAGAUUUGGAGGAACACCAGUGGCGAAGGCGACUGUCUGGUCUGUAACUGACGCUGAGGCGCGAAAGCGUGGGGAGCAAACAGGAUUAGAUACCCUGGUAGUCCACGCCGUAAACGAUGAGUGCUAAGUGUUAGGGGGUCUCCGCCCCUUAGUGCUGCAGCUAACGCAUUAAGCACUCCGCCUGGGGAGUACGGUCGCAAGACUGAAACUCAAAUGAAUUGGCGGGG
rnacentral:rRNA from 1 species